UACGUAGGGUGCAAGCGUUGUCCGGAAUUAUUGGGCGUAAAGAGCUCGUAGGCGGCUUGUCACGUCGGGUGUGAAAGCCCGGGGCUUAACCCCGGGUCUGCAUUCGAUACGGGCAGGCUAGAGUGUGGUAGGGGAGAUCGGAAUUCCUGGUGUAGCGGUGAAAUGCGCAGAUAUCAGGAGGAACACCGGUGGCGAAGGCGGAUCUCUGGGCCAUUACUGACGCUGAGGAGCGAAAGCGUGGGGAGCAAACAGG
rnacentral:rRNA from 1 species